AUUGAACGCUGGCGGCAUGCCUUACACAUGCAAGUCGAACGGCAGCACGGGUGCUUGCACCUGGUGGCGAGUGGCGAACGGGUGAGUAAUAUAUCGGAACGUGCCCAAUCGGUGGGGAUAACGCAACGAAAGUUGUGCUAAUACCGCAUACGAUCUACGGAUGAAAGCGGGGGACCGUAAGGCCUCGCGCGAUUAGAGCGGCCGAUGCCUGAUUAGCUUGUUGGUGGGGUAAAAGCCCACCAAGGCGACGAUCAGUAGCUGGUCUGAGAGGACGAUCAGCCACACUGGGACUGAGACACGGCCCAGACUCCUACGGGAGGCAGCAGUGGGGAAUAUUGCACAAUGGGGGAAACCCUGAUGCAGCCAUGCCGCGUGUGUGAAGAAGGCCUUCGGGUUGUAAAGCACUUUCAGCGAGGAGGAAAGGUUGGUAGCUAAUAACUGCCAACUGUGACGUUACUCGCAGAAGAAGCACCGGCUAACUCCGUG
rnacentral:rRNA from 1 species